CACUGCAGGCUCAACCUCUGGGACUCAGGUGAUCCUCCCAUCUCAGCCUCCCAAGUAGCUGGGACUACAGGUUGCUUCUUCCAGAUCCCUUUUGAUCUACUUUCAGCUAUGGAUUCAUGAGAAUCAAGACUAAGCAGCCUGAAUUGAAGGAGUAACAGUAUCACCUAACAAUGAUUUUGCUGCCAUAGUAGCUGUUUGUAUACUGGCCAUAUGCCUAGGUAAAAUGAGGCCAGAUCACUCUCAAGAGUUUUCUAUCAGAGUUGGUGGUGAACUACUGCUCACGGAUAAUGGGUCUCACUCACUUUGUCAUCCAGGCUGGAGUGCAGUGGUGGGAUCUCAGCUCACUGCAACCUCCACCUCUUGGGUUUAAGCAAUUCUCCUGCCUCAGCCUCCCAAGUAACUGGGAUUACAGACGAGAAACCCCAGCUGAGGAGGCAAAUAUACUCAAGGAAAGUAAUAGUUUCCAAAUGCCUGGCAGUGCCAGGAAGGGGCCAUGUCCAUGGACCACUAUGUAAGGAUAUCUCAGUCUCUAGUCCAGCGUGGUUUAUGGUGCCAAAUAAGUGCCAGGUGAACUCACUACAUCUGACAAAAUCUCAAGGAACCAAGUUUACCAGAUAAUAUUUAUGAUUAUGUGAAAAAGACUGAGGAAAUCACUCAAGUGAUCCAUCAUACAGCACCUCCAGUUCCAAAGAAUACUGACUUACUUCAGCUGUACUGGUCUGGAGCUGCACAUUCUUUUCAGACAACUCUUGUUCCA
rnacentral:lncRNA from 1 species